rnacentral:lncRNA from 1 species
GGAAAAGGCUCAUGGGAAAAUGGAAGCUUGCUGUAGAAAAGUGGGCUGGAGAGUAGGGACACAAGUUCGGUUAGGCUGGGAGACUCUGGAGCUAGUCAUGUGUCUUAGCACUCAGGACAUCUGUCUGCUCUUCCACAGGCCCAGAACUUGAUGCCAAAUACCCACGUAGGAUGCACAGUGGCCCACAACUCCAUUUCCGGGGCACCCAAGGCACCCUUCUGCCCUAUUCUGGGACCAGGAAUGCAGUUGCUGCUUAGAACACACACUCGGGCAAAACAGCCGUUCAUAAAAAAAAAAAAAAAAAAAAAAAAAAAAAAACCAAAACCAAAAACAAAAAAACUGUGUAAUGAUGCUUCAGAGAGGCAAUUAUUUUUAAUCCUUUUGGGAGAGUGUCUACACAUGUGAUGGUUAGAGAACUGAGUACUGAAAGAAGCAUCUGGUGAGGGAGGAUUCUAAAUAAAGGAUAGAGGAGUAUCUAGGGAGGUAGGAGACUUGGAGAGAAGGGAAGAGGUCAAGGGCAGUGUGAAGUCAAUGUUGAGGUAAUGAUCUUAGACUACGGUGGAAGGCGGGUAGGUGCCUAUGGAGAAAGAUUUGAGGAUCAAAGCUGGGAUUUGAGGCUCUUCUGUGGGAAAAGAUAUCUGUGGAGGAGGAUAACAGCCCCAUAGUUGAGUCCAGAAUCUCUGGAGGGGUACAAGGUCUACACAGGAGGGCAGAAGGCUUGGAAUGAAAGUGAUAGGCCUCGUAGCUCCCCAGGGACAUUAGGAAGUGAGUAGACUAGGAAGGUUAUCAGGGGUGUCGGAGGCCAGGUCUGAGGGCUCAGUGUUCGAAAGGGUGAUACAUUUCCCUGGGAAAGCAGAAGGAAGGUAAGUGAAGAGUUCUACAAAAGAGGAGAAAAAGUCCGGAAAACCAGAGUCCUGGGAAACAGGUGAGGAAAGUGUGAGGAGGGAGAAGACACAGUGGAAUUACAAGAAACUAAGAAUGCAAGAGAUCAGUGACUGAACAGAAUUCACGGGAGGAGCAGGAGUUCAAAAGUGAUCGCAGAGGUCUGGAAGGCUAAAAAUGCUGGGUGUGGGUGAAGAGUGCUCACGAUGGGAUAGUUUGUUUGGAUCAUAUGAGCAGGGUGGGACAAGGAAAGGAAAUUUCUGCAAGAGAUCGGGACGCUGUGUUCUAGAAGUAGUCUCAGAAUGCUUAAGAAUCUGGGCAUCAACCAGGGAGGGUCCAUUAGAGUCUAAGCAAGCAGAAGGAAGAUGCCGAGAGAUUGACUUAGGACAAUGUAGGUGACUGGGUGAAGACCAAUUCCUGUUUUGAAAUACAGGAGGCUCCUGGGGCAAGAGAACAAACUGCAGGAGAGG